ACUAUAAAUAGUGGGCUCCCGGAGCCGCCGUUCUUUUCGUCCGAAUUGCUACUUGGUAGCCAGGUUACCGUCCUUCUAAGACGCUGAUUUUCGCGGGUGCGUCUACAGCACAAGGGGCUUUAAGACGUAGACCAAUGUGUUAUCCUUGAGUAAAGCAUGAGCUCUGGAAGCCCAGCCAGUGGCGGUGCCCCUUCCCAGAUUCACCACUAAACCGGUGACUGAAAGCCUAAGGUUACUGCUGUUGGAAAAGUACUGUUGUGAUGGCUGGGAUGCCUAGGUAAUGGUUCCUGCCUCUUCAUGCUGUUUGACAAGAGCCAUAGUCCUUCUCUUGGGCUACUGUGAAAGAGGAGAAGGGAGGGGAAAGGGGAGAGAAGCAUCCACUGGUUGCCUCUCACAGGUGCCCUAAGCCAGGCCACCAGGGCUGCAGGUAGGGCCACUCUUACACUUUUAAAAAAUUUUUAUUUAUUUAGAAGGGAAGGGAGGGAGAGAAGGAGAGAAAUAUCAAUGUAUGGUUGCUUCUGGUGCAUCCCCUGCUGGGAACUGGCUUGCAACCCAGGCAUGUGCCCUGACGGGGAACUGAACCGUGACCUUUUGGAUCGAAGGCCCGUGCUCAAUCCACUGAGCUACACUAGCCAGGGCUUACACUUUUUUUUAAAUGUUAUUUUAGAGAUAGAGCAAGGGACAAAGAAAGGAUGAGAAAAAUCGAUGUGUGAGAGAGAAACGGUUUGAUCAGUUGCCUCUAACACACCCCCAACCAGGGACCUGGCCAUCCUGACUGGGAAUAGAACUGGAAACCUUUCCAUUCACAGGCCAGCGCUCUUAUCACUCUUAAGCCUCCCUUUUUUUUCUUGCCAUCUGGCAACUCUUCUGCCAGCCCAGCUUUCUGUUUUAAUGACAGUUACCUGUAUAGUUCUGAUACAUGUUCCUUUUAUGAGAUUUCAGGAUUUUACUGACAAAAAGUACGCCCUCUGUCUGGUUUUGGGCAGAUCGUAGGAACUUCCUGCAUUAGCCAGUGUGAGCAGCUGUCAACUUACUGAAGAGAAAAACUGCCUUGAAAUUUGGGGGAGCUUAAAUAUCGUGGGCUCGAUGCUGCCACUGGGUAGAAGCAAGGUGGAGGGCCGGAUUCAGCCCGCUGGCCUCGUUUGCUGCCUGUGGCUUUAGGCAUGCUCUGUGUCUUCCCCAAGAGCCUGAUUCGGCUGCACUGAUACAUGACCGUGCUGAGAUAACAGAUGAAGAAUCAAGUGGGGACUCCACAAGACAUGGAGAGCUCAGGCUUCUGGGAAGGUAGAGAAAAUGAAUCACACCUUGAAGGAAAAUAUCGCCAAGCUCUGCCAAAAAACUCAUCUUCAUUGGGAUCAAGCUUUACCUGUUGCCCUGCUCAAGGUAAGGGUGGCUCCUCAAAGUGGGAUUCAGUUGAAUCUUUAUGAAAUUGUGUACGGGUGGCCAUUUCAGGCUAUAAUUGGGGUGGGAGAUAUGUAUGAAGAUCAAGAAGUGAAGGUAAAGAAAUGUGUACCACAUUUAAGUCACACCUUACCUGUAAUUAACAACCUUGCUUGUAUUGGAGACCUCUCCCCCACACAUUUGGCUACAUUCCUUUGAGCCUGGAGACAAGGUGCUACUUAAGACUUGGAAGUCAGGAUCCCCAGAGCCAACCAGAAGGAGAGUGGACUGGACCUUGGAAUGUACUCCUCAUCACUCCAACCGCAGUGAAAUUGGCAGGAAUAAAACCUUGGAUUCCUCACACCACAGUAAAGAAAGCACCGGAGGAACAAUGGACUGCCGAACCUCAAGAAGACCUGAAAGUCAUCUUUCGAAAACAAUGCCUUAUAUUCUUUUCAUUACUUUUUGUUUAACCCCAUGUUAUGGAGAACUUGUUCCUUUCAAAUGAGAUGAAAAUAUUGGGUAUAUUUAGGGAAAAUGUUCUAAACUUCUUUGAUUUUUGUCUUGCAGAAGGAACUUACAUUGAACAAACUUUCACUUCUUGUCUUAGAGGUGUUUGUGCUCCCUUGGAAAGCCUUUGAAAUAAGAACGUAACCUACUUUGAUAUUUGUAACUGGGGACCUAUCGUAACUCUAAAGGACAGGGAAAUGUUUUCUUAACAAUUACUAAUGUAGCACUGGUUGAUGUGGCUCAGUGAAUUGAGCACCAGCCUGUGAACCAAAGGGUCACUAGUUCGAUUCUCAGUCAGGGCACAUGCCUGGGUUGUGGGCUGGGUCCCUGGCAUGGGGUACGUGAGAGGCAACCACACAUUGAUAUUUCUCUCCCUCUCUUUCUCUCUCCCUUCUCCUCUUUCUAAAAAUAAAUAG